UUCGCCUAGAGGCGUUCCCAUAGUGUCGUAACCGACGCAGUCUCUCGUUCCCCUUCUCGGGGAACCAGGGUUACAUACGUAACCCGAGACGUUCUUUGUGUUUCAACAGCCAAAGAACCGGUUCUCGGCCAGGAAAACUGGUUCCAAAGCGGCACCUACUCUUUGCUGUACUAGAACGUUUCUUUUACCACGUCAUGCUUACGUAGGGGGCUGGGGGCGGGGUUAUUUUGACCAACAACACGACGGGAAAGGUUGUGACCGCCAUUGCUAAAAACACAGUGCUAGUAAAGAUAGUACAACGAUUGAAGAAAAUGGAUUCUAAAGCGAAACAGUGGUCGGUGGAGGAGACAAACUGUUUGUUAGCGAUAUGGUCCUCGGCAGAGGUACAGCAAAAAAUAGAAGGUGCUUCGAGAACAAAAAAUGUGUUCGAGGAGAUCCAGAGGGAGAUGGCUACAGCGGGGUUUAACAGAACCAUAAAGCAGAUCAAUAACAAGUUAAAAAAAACUAACAAAGGAUUACAGAGACCAAAAGAAGGAGUUGGGGCAAAGGUGAAAUGGACGGCCAUUUAGUAGAAAUACCCAUUUUGAGGUUUUGGACUCGGUCCUCGGCGACAGACCGGCGUGCCAGGUCACCGGGGCAUUAAAUUCUGCCACUGCCAUGCUAGAAUCUAUGGUGAAUGAGACGCUGCUGCAGGGUAUUGCCAACAACGUUACUGAUUCUGCUCACCAGUACCGUCUUGCAGCUCAGCAGCUGAAAGCUCCUCAUCUGCCUCUUCCAGUCAGUCGACCAGAAAGGGCAAAACGAAACGAGACAUGAAUGGGGAGCUUCUGGAAUAUUUUGAGAGGUCAGACGAAAGGUUCCUGCAGCACUGCAAGGAAAUGAAUGAUACCUUGCUGAAGAAAAUGGAUGCAGACUCAACUGCAAUGCUUGGACUCAUGGAGCGUAUGAUCACGGUGAUGGAGAGGCAACUUCACUGAUAAGUGCUACUGAAUCAGAAAGAAACUAUUAGUUUUUGCACAGUGUACUUUUGCAAAAAAUAAACGUUUUUUGAAGAAACA